rnacentral:lncRNA from 1 species
CAAUUAAAAAUAGUGUAACACAUUAAAAUUGCAAAUAUUACAGAAUAUAAUUACUUAUAUCGUUAUAGUUAACUAAACAAAUAUAUAUUACAACUUGAAUGGGUAGUGGGGUGCAAUGCAAUAUGUUUAGCUUAUUUUUUAUUUUAUGUUACAAUAUCGUUACAGUAUCUAAUCUCAUUACCACCAUUAUUUUUACAUUAACAACAAGUAAAUUCACCGUCAUCCAAACUCACCCUUAAAAAAGUUAAAUAAAUAUAUUAAUUUUUUUCAAGCAUCAUUUCAAUCGCUUUAAAAUGGGUUUUUUUAGACAAUAUCUCUCUUUUUAAUAUAAUUCUUCAAAAUUUUCAACUACAAACAAUUUUUUUUGCACUUAAUUAAGUCUUUAAUGUUGAAAUAUUAACAUUUUUAAUUUUCAAAUUUUGAAAUUAAAAAUAUUAUUAAAUUUUUUUAAAUACGUUAUAAUAACAAAAAAAAUCUAAAUAAGCAUAUUACAUUUCAAAUUAAAUAAUGUUUUAAACUAAUAUGAAAUACUUUUGAAAAUACAUAAAAUAAUUAUAAAACAACAUCUAUAAAUUAAAAAAAUUAAAUAGUUUUGAACAAAAUAUUUUUAAACACAUGUUAAAAUAUUUAAAAUAUUUAUUUACAUAACGAGCUUUUAAACCGGCAAGAGGAAUAGACAAGGGACCCUAUUAAUACCUUCUUGUUUUUAAUUUAUAAUGAGGGCCUUUCGACGCUUAUGAGGAUGGCCUUGAGGGAGGGGUCGAUUAAGGGAGCAAAGGAAAAGAAAAGGGGCUCCGUCGGUUUCUCAUUUACUGUUUGCUGAUGAUAGUAUAUUGUUUGGAGAAGCUAGCGAUAGGGGUGCACAAGUUUUGAAAUCAAUCUUAAGGGAAUAUGAAAGAUGCUCGGGGCAAUGCCUCAAUUACGACAGUAGCAACACUUCGGAAGAGUCUAGGUGAGUUGUUUCCAAUAUUCUUGGGGGUAGAAAUUCAAAUAAUAUGGAAAGAUAUCUUCGUUUGCCGAAUGUUGUGGGGAAAAAUAAAAAAAGUUUCUUUUCAGCUCUUAAAGGAUCGCAUGAGGUAAUGGAUUGAGAGUUGGAAUGGGAGAUUCCUUUCUCAAAGAGGUUAGGAAGUGUUUAUUAAAGUUGUUUUACAAGCAAUACCCACUUACACUAUGGCCUGUUCUUUACUUCCAAAGUCUUUGUGUGUGGAAUCAGAUAGCAUAAUGAAUCAAUUUUGGUGGGAAAAAGGACAAGGGCGAAAAUGGUUGGGAACAACUUUGCAAUCUUAAGGAGAAUGGGGGUAUGAGAUUCCGUAGUUUAUCCAAAUUUAAUGUUGCGUUAUUAGCUAAACAAGGUUGGUGUAUUCUUAAUUAUCCAGAUUCAUUAUUAAUGAAAGUUCUAAAGGCUAAGUACAUUCCAACUGAGUUAGGACAACUACCUUCAUAUAUCUGGAAGAGUGUAUGGGCAGCUAAAGGAUUGCUAAAGACUGGGAUUUGUUGGAGGGUGGGAACGGGCUAGAAUAUUUAAAUUGCUGCUGAUGCGUGGCUCCUUUGAUCUGUAAGUUAAAAGGCAAAAUCAAUUAGGAAUGACAGUAAACUCAAUAAAGUGGUGGAUCUUAUUGAUAAACAAAAGAGAGAAUGGAAGUUUGACUUAAUUUAUUCUACCUUCUCUAGAGAAGAGGCAAAUAGAAUUGUGCGAAUUCCCGUAGCAAUGGAACCUCAUACGGACUUCAUGGUAUGGAAGGGAGAGGCCUCUGGGGAAUUCUCUGUGCGAAGUGCUUACAAAUUUUUACAUGGCUUUCUUCCUAAUUAUUUAAAGACUGAGGCUAAUUUAUUUUACAAAAAUUUGUGGGAUAUUCAUAUUCCAGGGAAAAUUAAAAUCCUAAUCUGGAAAAUUUCUUGGAAUUUUAUUCAUCAUUUUGUUAAUCUUCGGUGUAAGAGAUUGCUAUCGGUGGUAGUAUGUCCCAAAUGUGGAGUAACUGCUGAAAACAUUAAUUAUAUCUUCAGAGAAUGCCCAAUGACGCAAGAAGUUUGGAUUAAUUUGAAUCUGGAAUGGGUAUUAACGGAUUUGAUUUUGUUACACUGGGAGAGACUUACCUGAGUGUUCAAGAAUAGUUCCAGCAUUCAAUGUCGAGUAUUUUGUUGCCCUUUGUGGGCGAUCUGGAAGGACAAAAACAAAGGAUUACACGAGGCAAAGAAAAGUACGGGCCCAGAAGUUGCUACAUGGAUAAACAGAUAUAUUAAGGAACUGGAGGGGUGUGAGGUUCGGGAUUUUACCACGAGGCACAAGUCUAUGUGUUGGUGCCCACCAGUUGGUUCCAUUGCCUCCAAGCAGUGGUUAUGGGAAAACAGAUAGGGUUCACAUUAGUUAUCAUCGAAUGAGACUCAGUAUCAAUAAAAAAAAAGUAAAUUAGAUAAGACUGAUAAAUCGGUGAUUGGGGGUAUAAUACAGAACAUUCAGCAGCAAAAGUAAUCUUUUCACCAAAUAACCUUUCAACAUACAUACAGAUCUACAAAUCUUAUGGCUCAUAACUUAGCUAAAGAGGCAAUGAAAGAAGAUUUGCGAGCAUACCUGAUCAGAAGGGUCCCUGAGCAAGAAACAUCGGAGGUGAAUUUGUGGAGAAGAAGAGAACCUGACUGAGGGUUGUUCGAUAGGUGGUAUUUGCGUAGAAAGAAAAAAGGGAAAGUGGGAUAGUUGAUGGGUUUGGAAAUCGCUUUUUUAGGGACUAGAAUCGGUGCAUUAAUUACGGAUAUGCUAAUUGGAUUCUAGCUGUGAUCAGACUGGAAGUUUAUAUUAAUUUUCUGUUUAGUUUUUUUAAUUUGUUUGUUUUGGUGCAUGUUUUAAGUUUAUUUAAUAUUAUUAAUUUAGACACGAAUCAGUCUGUAAACUGUAGGGGUAAAAAAAGACUAGUUAUUUAUAUAUAAAUCCAGGAGACCCAAAUCCAUAAAACCCGUUUUCAGAACCGGAUCCUGGGACAGCUCUCACUAUGACCCG